UUGUGGAGGAGGACGCCGAAGGUGGGGCUAAUGACUGGGGUGAAGUCGUAACAAGGUAGCCGUACCGGAAGGUGCGGCUGGAUCACCUCCUAACAGGGAGACAACAAAAUGUUUAAUAUUAUUUUGUCACCUUAGGUCGAUCGGUAUCUCAUGUUUUUAAUUUAUUAAGAAUUUCAUUUCCUAAGUUUUUCUAGGUCACACCCAUUAUUUUUCCUGGGCCAUUAGCUCAGGUGGUUAGAGCGCACCCCUGAUAAGGGUGAGGUCCCUGGUUCAAGUCCAGGAUGGCCCAUAUCUCUAUGUUGGGGGUAUAGCUCAGUUGGUAGAGCGCCUGCUUUGCAAGCAGGAUGUCAGCGGUUCGAGUCCGCUUACCUCCACUGAUUACCACCUCUUCCAUAAUCUGUAGAAAGGAAAUGUAUUGAGUUGUGAUCAAAUUCUGAACGAAUCUAGCUUCCUAAUGAAAUCAUUAAGAUGCUGGACUCAUUGAAUUAAUUUCAUUGUUUUCAGAGAACCUUGACAACUGCAUAGAUUAUUUUUAAAGACAAUAAGCAUCUUUAAUGAUGCAGAUUUAUUAUUUGUGCGAAUGCAUUAAUAACAAUUCUAUUAAGCUGAUGCUUCAAUUUUGAAGUUAUUGGUCAAGCUACAA
rnacentral:misc_RNA from 1 species